GGGCCAGCUGGUUGCCCAACGCGAGAUCACAGGGGCAAGGCCUUUCCGGCGGCAGACGAGGUUGAUCGGGCCGGAGCGACCAAAUCGGAUCUGCGGCGAAGGAACCGUGGAAGCCUUCAUCGUCGCCGGCGGGUGCAAUGAGCCAUCGUGCUUGCUGGAUCGGAACUCGUCCUUCGUGCCGUGAUGGUGACAGGCGCCCGCCACGAUGAGGUGGCUUCAUCUCUCUGGAGGUUCGGAGGAGGAGCUGUCGCCUCAUCGACAAAAUGCACUCUAUUCCAGGUGUUUUGACAUGGUAAGUAAGCUUGCUGGAAGUUAAAUGGCGAGGAAGAUGCUCAUGCUGAAGAAGAACCUGAACUGCCAGGAUGGGUUCCAUGUUGGUUGACUAACUGCGAAAUCCUCUAUUAUUUAUGCUAAAUUCAAUUAUUUAUGGCAAACAAAGAUGGGAAAUGCUUUUGAAGGGGUCCCUUCAAUAAUGCUUGGCUGCUAAGAACUAAUAUAACUUUGAAUUGGGUCGUAAAGGUUGCCAUCUUCUGAGGAAAUGCCUGCUUAUACUCCAGAAAAUGUUCAAUACUUCAAAGGUUUCAAUCAGAUGAUACUUACAAGGUGAAAGAAAAGAUGAAAGUGGCAGGCGGUCGACGACGAUAGCAGCGACAUGACACGACGGUAGUUGGGCGAUCGACAUUGGGGAAAGAACAAGACGUGACAUCGAUGGAGGUGCGUGACAACAACUCAUCGCACAAUGGUGCGAUGCCAGAUCAUGAGGUGGAACAACGCCUCUAGCAUGCGAGGGAAGAGACAUGGACUGGUGGCCUCUUCAUGGUUGACAAUCAUGACAACCAAUGAAGAAGGCAGCUCAUAGUGGGGAAGGGCAAGCAGGCACCGAGAAAGUAGACAGCAUCGACGGUGGAUGCAACGACGACGGAAAAGAACACCGAUGUUGAGGGGCAUAGGCAUCGUCGACGGCUAAGAAGGGAUCAGAGCACUGCUGAUUGCUCAUGGCGAGGACCAAAAGGUAGUAGCGAUUCUCUUUGUUACUUCCGACGAUAAGGGAAGCAACAAUGAUAGUGAAAGCCCUGGGUAGUCGACACACCGAUAGCGAGGUGCCCUUGUUAACUUUGGUGAAGCAAGACAGUGAUUGCUGGCUUCAGCUCGAAGAUGAGAAAGUGAGAGACAGGGCACCGAUGUCUCGCGUGGACGGAGGCGACACUAUCGGUUGAACGUGUGACGACGGACGCACACGUCGAGGGAGAGGAGCGACAGUUUAAUCAUGAACUUAGGGUUUAUUAUAAACUCAGGCUAAUUGAUAUUAUUAACUCCUUAGGUAUUUUAAACCGGCUUUAUAUUUUAUCCAUAUAUCCUCAUGAAAUAUAAAAAGAUUCAUUUAAAAUUUUAAAAAAAUUAAUAAUUUCUCUAAAUUCAUAUAAACCUAUUUCUCUCUUAAUUUCUCACCCAUAUAAAUUUAUUUAAUUAUAUCCAAUUUUAAUCAUUUUAAUCCUUAUAUAUAUUUUUGGUAUAUUACAUUCUUCCACACUAAUAAAAAUUUGGUUUCCAAAUUUACUACUCAAAUUAUAAUACUAAGGUAUCCUCAUCUCAGGGUAACAACU